AUUGAACGCUGGCGGCAGGCCUAACACAUGCAAGUCGAGCGGAUGAAGGGAGCUUGCUCCUGGAUUCAGCGGCGGACGGGUGAGUAAUGCCUAGGAAUCUGCCUGGUAGUGGGGGAUAACGUCCGGAAACGGGCGCUAAUACCGCAUACGUCCUGAGGGAGAAAGUGGGGGAUCUUCGGACCUCACGCUAUCAGAUGAGCCUAGGUCGGAUUAGCUAGUUGGUGGGGUAAAGGCCUACCAAGGCGACGAUCCGUAACUGGUCUGAGAGGAUGAUCAGUCACACUGGAACUGAGACACGGUCCAGACUCCUACGGGAGGCAGCAGUGGGGAAUAGUGGACGAUGGGGGAAAGCCUGAUCCAGCCAUGCCGGGUGUGUGAAGAAGGUCUUCGGAUUGGAAAGCACUUUAAGUUGGGAGGAAGGGCAGUAAGUUAAUACCUUGCUGUUUUGACGUUACCAACAGAAUAAGCACCGGCUAACUUCGUG
rnacentral:rRNA from 1 species